rnacentral:rRNA from 1 species
CAGUAGCCGCGGUAAUACGGAGGGUGCAAGCGUUAAUCGGAAUUACUGGGCGUAAAGCGCACGCAGGCGGUUUGUUAAGUCAGAUGUGAAAUCCCUGAGCUUAACUUGGGAACUGCAUUUGAAACUGGCAAGCCAGAGUCUUGUAGAGGGGGGUAGAAUUCCAGGUGUAGCGGUGAAAUGCGUAGAUAUGCGGAGGAACACCGAUGGCGAAGGCAGCCCCCUGGGCCAAUACUGACGCUCAUGCACGAAAGCGUGGGGAGCAAACAGGAUUAGAGACCCCUGUAGUCCCUGUCUCUUAUAA